AGAUGGAUUGGUGCCUUCGGGAACUCUGAGACAGGUGCUGCAUGGCUGUCGUCAGCUCGUGUUGUGAAAUGUUGGGUUAAGUCCCGCAACGAGCGCAACCCUUAUCCUUUGUUGCCAGCGGUUCGGCCGGGAACUCAAAGGAGACUGCCAGUGAUAAACUGGAGGAAGGUGGGGAUGACGUCAAGUCAUCAUGGCCCUUACGAGUAGGGCUACACACGUGCUACAAUGGCAUAUACAAAGAGAAGCGACCUCGCGAGAGCAAGCGGACCUCAUAAAGUAUGUCGUAGUCCGGAUUGGAGUCUGCAACUCGACUCCAUGAAGUCGGAAUCGCUAGUAAUCGUAGAUCAGAAUGCUACGGUGAAUACGUUCC
rnacentral:rRNA from 2 species